AAGAGAGUGUCUCAGUGAACAGCAGAUUGCAGAGGUGCGUUUAUAAAAGAUUCAUGGUGCAGCAGAGCCUGGGUCAGCUGGGGUUUCUCCAGCCUCCCUAUAUCACCGGGAGCUGCUUACCCGGCUCCCCGUGCAGAAGCGGGGAAGUGUGUAGUCGAGUGUGCAUCUGAUUUGGUCCGCUUCAGACCACUUUUAUUCGGGACAGCUUUGCUUCAGGAAAAAGCCAAAAAAACCCAGCUGAGGACAGAAGACACAAGAUGGAUAUACAUAACUUUUCCAAAUCUAAGCUUUCAAAGCAAAAACUACUGAGGGUGAACCAAGGAUUGCAGAUGUGGACCAUGAAACGCCGGACAGCACCGCCAAAAAGUUUAUCAACAAGAUUCUCUGGAAGGAUUCCAAGCAACCUUUUGUACAAGGGAGGACUCAACCCUUCUUGUAUUGGAACACACGAGCUGUCUUUUUUUGUUGGCCUUCCCGGAAGAUUGCCCUCGCUAAAAUUCAGAGCAGCGGUGACUGUUUGUGUUUAAAUCAGAGGACAAUUUGAGCAAAAGGACCACUAGUUGCUAUUUGUUCUCUGAAGUGGAGUUUUUGGAUGGGCCCUGCUGGCAAUCUCUGUCCUAGAUACUGGAGUUUCUUUUGCCUUGGCAUCGCUCUGCUGUUUUUAUUCUCCCCCACCCUCCCAUAAACUCAAAUAAACAGAGGAGACUAGCAAGAGAAAUCUGUUAACAUUCUUCAGCUUUCUUGGAUUCUGUAUUUUAUUGCUUUUUGUUUUGAAAUGCUCUUUGUGAGUUACGCCAAGGCUUUCAGUUUUUCUUUACUGUGAAUAUCAAUUUUUACAUCAACUUUGUGAAUGUAACAGUUGGAGCCGGGCGGUAUACCGAAAAUUUACCGUACCGUAAAUUCUUCACGAUGACUGACGUAAUUUUGACCAUGUCGGUAAAUUUGUUAAUUUAAUAAAACAAGAAAAUAGUCUUUUCAUCCAGCUUUGACUCUGUGUUGUUCGGCUAUGUUAAUUCCCCUUUAAGAAAGCUGUCAGUGUACUUAUGUACAAAGUCAUGUGGUUAUCAGGAAAUCAGGCGCCCGGUAGGCUAACGCGAGCGGCUAAGGCUACAAGCAAACGUGAUUGAGUUGGGCUCAAGGGGGCUCCAAACUUUGAACCGACAUUAAGUAGACUCUUGGUGGCCUCCAAACGGGCUUUCGCAAUUUAAGGCAAGGGUGCUUUCAGUGCUUUCUGCUGGCAGCCAGGCCACAGGCUAACGCUAGCGGCUAAGGCUAUAAAUGAACGUGAUGGUGUUGGAUCGCGGCUCUCACCUUGUCAAAACAGUGGAACUUCAU